AAAAAAAAAAAAAAAAUGUAAAUAUCAAUCUAAAAGAGUUUAUCUGAACUUUUUCAAGUUCAAUUCCUUUCUUGGAAUCAUACCUGAAAUUUGUUCAAGUUUUGUGUAGAAAACCUUAAAUUUCCCCAUGAUAUAGAAUGUUGGCAUUUAUUGCAUUUAAGUUCCUGGCAAGAAAACAACUUUCAUGCUUUAUACUUUUUUUUGUCUUAUGCCACUCAAAUUUCGCAUUUAUGAUAAUUUAAACACACUUUUUUUAAUCAGAAUCACUGAAUAGAUCUGAUGUCGUCAACCUAUAAUCUGCUAGAAAUUAGGCACGGGGGUUAUCGAAUUGCCACAGGAUUUAGGACUGAAGGUACUCUAAAAGAUGAUAGCAGAAUAUCAAGUUACCCGAGACCUUCAUGACUAAAGAGUUAUCAGAUAUAUGCGUAUGUCCAAAUAGCAAGAAAUUUCAAUUUCCUUAGUAUUCAAAAAGCCAACUUUUCCAAUUUCUAUAAGCAACAUGGCACUUUUCUCUCCCUCUCUCUCUGUUUUAACACUUAUCCUUCAUCUUUUUCCAUUGUUUAAAUUCUGUUUAUAGGAAACUGGGUUGGGACCCUAAACA
rnacentral:misc_RNA from 1 species